CCUUGGAGGUUGUUCCCUUGAGGAGUGGCUUCCGGAGCUAACGCGUUAAGUCGACCGCCUGGGGAGUACGGCCGCAAGGUUAAAACUCAAAUGAAUUGACGGGGGCCCGCACAAGCGGUGGAGCAUGUGGUUUAAUUCGAUGCAACGCGAAGAACCUUACCUACUCUUGACAUCCACGGAAUUCGGCAGAGAUGCCUUAGUGCCUUCGGGAACCGUGAGACAGGUGCUGCAUGGCUGUCGUCAGCUCGUGUUGUGAAAUGUUGGGUUAAGUCCCGCAACGAGCGCAACCCUUAUCCUUUGUUGCCAGCGAUUCGGUCGGGAACUCAAAGGAGACUGCCGGUGAUAAACCGGAGGAAGGUGGGGAUGACGUCAAGUCAUCAUGGCCCUUACGAGUAGGGCUACACACGUGCUACAAUGGCGCAUACAAAGAGAAGCGACCUCGCGAGAGCAAGCGGACCUCACAAAGUGCGUCGUAGUCCGGAUCGGAGUCUGCAACUCGACUCCGUGAAGUCGGAAUCGCUAGUAAUCGUGGAUCAGAAUGCCACGGUGAAUACGUUCCCGGGCCUUGUACACACCGCCCGUCACACCAUGGGAGUGGGUUGCAAAAGAAGUAGGUAGCUUAACCUUCGGGAGGGCGCUUACCACUUUGUGAUUCAUGACUGGGGUGAAGUCGUACGG
rnacentral:rRNA from 1 species